rnacentral:rRNA from 1 species
AUACGGAGGGUGCAAGCGUUAAUCGGAAUUACUGGGCGUAAAGCGCGCGUAGGCGGUUUGCUCAGUCGGAUGUGAAAGCCCAGGGCUCAACCUUGGAACUGCAUACGAUACUGGCAAACUAGAGUGUGAGAGAGGAUAGUGGAAUUUCCGGUGUAGCGGUGAAAUGCGUAGAUAUCGGAAGGAACAUCAGUGGCGAAGGCGACUGUCUGGCUCAACACUGACGCUGAGGUGCGAAAGCGUGGGUAGCAAACAGGAUUAGAAACCCGAGUAGUCC